rnacentral:tRNA from 2 species
GCAAUUUUAGUUUAAUUAAAAUGGUGGUUUGUCUAACCUUUGAUGAUAUUAUUUUUAUCAAGUUGCU